rnacentral:rRNA from 1 species
UCCUACGGGAGGCAGCAGUGAGGAAUAUUGGUCAAUGGACGCAAGUCUGAACCAGCCAUGCCGCGUGGAGGAUGAAGGUCCUCUGGAUUGUAAACUUCUUUUAUCUGGGACGAAAAAAGGGUUUUCUAACUCGUCUGACGGUACCAGAUGAAUAAGCACCGGCUAACUCCGUGCCAGCAGCCGCGGUAAU